AGAAGGAGAGCAACCAUCAGCCCCUGAUGAUGAUGAUCCUAGCUAAGACGUGCCUGAGAAACAGUGAGCAGAGUAAACUUUGUGCUGCAUGAAGACAUGUGACGGUUAUUCCAAAUCCAAGACCACUGCUACUAAAAUACAAUUUGAGCAGGAAGACAUUGCAGUGAGUAUAAUGGAAAUAAUGUGUCUUGAGUACUACGUGAACCACUAGACAGAUAGGAACUAUGUUAUGUGCACUCUGCAUCCUGAAUGCCUAGAAGCUUGGUUGCUCAUUAAAUGACUUAGAAAAAUGUGUGUUUAUUGAUCCAACCAGUAUUUUUGAACAACAUUUUUGUUGUAGUUACCAUAAUGGUUAUGAGGGUAUAAUUCAGAAUAUGAUUGAAAUGGUCUGUCCUAGUAAAACAUGCACUCUACUCUAAUGAGGAAUUAAAAGAAUAUGCAAAUAAAAUGGUUAUAACUCAUGACAUUGUAAUAAACUUUUGCCCAAUAGGAUAAGAAACUAAAUAGAGCAUUUCAGAAAAUAUAGUAUUGAAAUAAAAAACUCAUUGUACUGAAUGGUGAUGAAAGAAAGUGAAAUGGCCAAAAAUUUUGUUGAGAUGUUCACCCCACAAGGAAUUUUGGGCCUCUUAAUUUCUCUCCGUAAGUUUGGCAAAAAUUGAGAACCUUAUAAAAAAAAAAUUGAAGGUUUGACUGCUCACAAGAAACUAAUUACCAUAGCCACUUCAAGAACAAUGUGGCUGAUCUAGAUAUAUUGAAAGUGAAUAUAACCUCUGCCCUAGCAGUUCUACAUCUAAGAAUAUAACCUAGAAAACCCUCUUAUUUGUACAUACAUUGUGAUAUAUCCAUACAAUACAUUAAAUCAAACAAUGUAGCUUUGCCAGCAUUUGACUGCGUAUACUUACGGAAGACAUAGUUAAAACUGAAAUGAAUGUAUAUGUUGACAUAGAUAAAUCUAAAAAAGAAAAUAUGCAGUGAAACAAAUUGGAUGCAAAGGAAAUAAAAGAGUGCUAUUUUUUAAUUUAGAUAAUUGAAAUAUACAAAACAGCAUACUGGGUGGUAUUCAUAGACAUGUGCCUAUGUGUAGUAAAAGCAUAAGAACCUGAAUGGGUGGCGCUCACAUAUUUUUUUGCACAGUCAGUGAAUGAGCUAGUGUGUUUGUAUUUGUGUGGAUAUCUUGAGGGAGAAAUUGCAAGAAUGUAAAUGGAGAGGCAAUGGUCAGAGGAAAAGGAGAAAGAUAUUUACAGAUAAUCAGUGGGAGGAAGUGCUGAAAAAUAAACAGAAAAUAUCAAAAUAUAUCUGAUACAUACAAAAACGUUAACCAAUUCUCACAGGUCAGGGUGACUUUGACAUAGAUUUCCAGGAUCCAGAGGAUAAAUUCACCACACAGUUUUGAAAGAUUUUACAGGAAUCCAUUUUAAGAAUAUAAAUAAGCAAGUCAAAAUUUUUUUUCCUAGUUUUAUAUUUUUUAAAUGUUCCUCCCCUUGAAAACAUUUUAUUUUCCUCAUUUGCUAGAGUAUCUUUCUCUAAAUUUUCUGAAAUAUUUUAGACUGGAAUGUAUCCGUUUUCUACUCCCCCAACCCCGCCCUGCCACCUCCCCUCCUGUGGAACUUCUGCUCUUGGCAUAUGAUGCUUUGAAUUACUUUACUUCCAAGAUCAUACGCUUCUUAUGACUACACAAUUUAGUUGAUUCAAUCAACUGACAAAAUCAUUCCACUACUUUUAUCCUACUUUUUUAAAGCCAUUUAAUAUAUACUGUAUCUAAUAGCUAGCAAAAAGGAAUGUAUAACUACUAUCAGAGCCAUUAUGGUAUAAAACAAGAUUUAAUCUAAACCAGGAAUCUAAAUACUAGUUGGGAACAAAAACAAAUUCAUCUAGUGUUAGCAAAGUCUCAAAAUGACUCAGAUCAUAGGCUGCAGAUAAAACAGAAAAUAAAAUGCCUUACAAAUACAAUAUAAAGGAUGAAAUCUCACCCAUAACCUGCUUAGGAAAUUGAUAGUAUUGUAUUCUAAUGCUGUAGAGUAUUAAUAUACUUAUAUUUUUUAGAUUAUCUUAACAUUUCAGAUUACUGUCCUGAUAUUCUUUAAGAUCUUUGGAAAACAAGCCACUGUGGCUUUUUAAACUAACAAUACAUUUAAUGAAUAAAGUUUAGAUAGAUUUAACAUAAAGGUGAUGGUGGAUAUUUUCUGAAAGCUUUAAAAAAUAUAUAUGGUGUGUGUGUGUGUGUGUGUGUGUGUGUGAGAGAGAGAGAGAGAGAGAGAGAGAGAGAGAGAGAGAUUUUAUUCAGUUUUAUCCUAUUGGACGAAAAGACUCCCUCUCUAUCUCUGUCUCUGUGUCUCUCUCAAACAUAAAGAAAAAAUUUAAGAUCUAGGAGAUAUUCUGAUGGAAAAAUAACCAUCCCAUAGAGCACAAUGUUUUCUAUUGAGAAAAGAACUGACUGUUGUAUAAAAAUAAACAAGAUUAAUCAACAAGUAGGUUAAAGACUAGUUUUUCAGGUAUAAUUAUGAUACUUUAAUUUGGUAAUUUCCUUCUGGUGAGUUGUAACUUAUAGGAAGAGUCCAUUUUCCAGGUUCAUAGUUUUGUAAUUUAUAACAGUAUAUUCUUAGCAGUUGUCUGAUUUAAUGUCUCUGCAUAAGGAAAGGAUCAUUUUACAUUUAAUUUCAGAAAAAAUGUAAUCAGAAGAGUAGGAUUCAAAUAACAUGAAGUAAUUCACACAUGCCCCAUUCUAGGCUAUGAAAAAGAAAUACUGAAGGGCAAGACAAACAGCUUGGAACGGGAUGAUGUCAAGAAUAAACACUUUGCAGCUGACAUGCUGGGCGACUCAGAAGCAGAACAACCAGUAAGAGAACAAGAACUUCAGAGUCCUGGCCAACAGUCUGGAGAAACAGCUUGAUAUUGUCCACAACCAGGCCAAGUGUAAGAGCUGUGAUGCAGCAGUGUCUCUAGAAAACGAGCAAGCGCCAUCCUUGAACAAUGUGUGAAGCCAGGUUAAACAAAUUCUUUGCAUUGCCACUUGGACAAAGGAAAAAUGUUAUUGCUGGAAAAAAGAUGUGAUUACUUAAUGAAAUGCCAAUCAAGAUCCUUUGGUCCAUUUAAUUCAGGAGUUGGCUACUUUCUUAACUCCCCAGGUGGAGAUCUACUUUACUCUAAUGGUGAAAUCUUUUGUAAUUAGAAUUUAUGUAUAUUCAAAACAUGAGCCCAGCAUGGCAGUAUCAGAAACAAUUUCCCUCCCUUCGUGACUCUACAUGGAUCACUGUGUUGUGAAUCUAAAGGACUGUUUUCCCUGGGAUUUUUUCCUGUAUUUGAUGGGAUUGUCAGUGGUACCAUGUUCCCGGCUAACCCAUGCACUAUGUACAAUAGCCAAGAUAUGGAAGCAACCUAAGUGUCCAUCAGUAGAUGAAUGGAUAAAGAAGAUGUGGGACAUAUACACAAUGGAAUAUUAUUCAGCCAUAAAAAGGAAACAAAUCCUACCAUUUGCAACAACAUGGAUGGAGCUGGAGGACAUUAUGCUCAGUGAAAUAAGCCAGGCGGAGAAAGACAAAUGCCAAAUGGCUUCAUUCAUUUGUGGAGUAUAACAAUGAAGCAAAACUGAUGGAACAAAACAGCAGCAGACUCACAGACAAUGAGAAGGAACUAGUGGUUACCAAAGGGGAGGGCUGAGGAGGGGGAAGGGGAAAGGAGGGAGAAGGGGAUUAAGGGGCACUAUAAUUCACAAUCAUAAUAUAGGUAAGUCACAUAUGGCACCUAGAAGACAAUUAAUGACUCUAUAACAUCUUAAUGUUAUACAUUAAGUGAGAAGACAAUUAAUGACUCUGUAACAUCUUAAUACGUUGAUAGACAGUGACCGCAAUGGAAGAGGUGAGGAUCUGAUAAUAUGGGUGAAUGCUGAAACCACUGUGUUUUUGUGAAAUCGUCAGAAGAUUGUAUAUCAAUGAUACCUUAAUAAAAAAUAAAAAUUAAAAAAAAAUUAA